CCUUUGCUGAACCAGGAAGUAACCUCCCCCAAUGGACAUGGUAACUCAAGAGACAAAGAAAACACCUGUCGGUCCCCCUGCCGGUGGGGGAGUGUGUGUUCAGCCUCAGCUGGCUGCUGCCCACCUACUUCCUGUUUGCGGUGACCUACGACGUCCUGCAGACGGUGGCCGACGUGGCUCACUACAUCGCCGCUUACAGCCACAGUCAGGACACCCCCCCACACAACGUUACGGGGGGGCUGACAGCAACCAACGCCUCCAUCCUGCUCUGAUGAGGGGGGGGGGGGUGGUGAAGUGCCAACAAAUCUGAAGCUUCGCAACAAGUGCUUUUAUAUAAUAUGAUACGAUGUAGACAUUGUUUUGUUUUUGGGGCCAUAUUUUGGAGUUUUUGCACUUUCCCAUGGCAACUUUUCAGAUAUGCUUUAUAUGUUGACAAAGCACACUUGUAAAUAUGACAUACGUUUUAUUUAAGUUAUAUACCUUAGACCAUUGGUUCCCAAACUUUUUCUGUCAGGCCCCCCCUUUGGAGAAAAAAAAAAGUCGGGCCCCACCCCCAACACAAAUAGUCAGGCUCAGUGGCGGCGCCAUAGAUUUAUUUUGGGGGUGCUGUGGCCCGCCCCACACUUUGGGAACCACUGUCUUAGACUAUAGGUUGAAUUACUGGCAAUGCAGAGAAUAACAAAGCAUUUAUUUAAAUGACAAUGUAUGUUAUAAUGUUUAGUUUAUUUAUUAUUAUGAAAUUAUUCAAUAUAACCACUAUAAAUGUACCGUUUUGAAUCACGCUCAUCUUCUUUUAUACUAAAGCCACAUGGUACGGCUUAAAUCGACAUGCAUUGCAGAUGACACCGGCUCAGUGUAGGGAAACCCAGAGUUUGUCGUUUGGAGCUAUAUGUAAGUUAAAUCACUCCUCAUGCGUUGCACACUGAGGCAGAAAGUCACAAGUUCUUUCAGGAUUCAUAAUUCCUCUCUAUUUAUCCUCCCUACAAAACUUAUAAAAGCUCUAACCUACAAAAGUGACAUCAUUAUUUUUUACAGCUAAAUGAUGUUCUUCAAUCAGGCCUUAUAAUGUUCCAAGGCCAAUCAGCUGUGAACCCAUAGGGACCGGGAACCUGUGUUCGCCCUGACAAAACUGAAAGGUUGACUUGAAUUCAAUGUAUUGUGUCAACAGAUUACACAUAAUUGUAUUAGGUUAGUUAAAAGCAAUAAUAUUGUGAACAUAAUGUAUUUAUUUAAACGUAAUUGCUUUUAACUAACCUAAUGCAGCGUACAGUGUUUUCUGGGGCCCGUAUAUACUAGGGCCCGUAUACUUUUUGUUUACGUCUCCUAUUCACGUUAUGACCGCUAGCUCUAAGGCGCUUCCACAUUGCCUGUACUUCCUGGUUAAAGUGUAAUUGCUAUUACUUUGCAUAGUGUCACCAGCUUUAUCUACCUUUACUUGCCAAAUAAACAGUUUUUAAGCUUUUGAAUGAAGUUUUAUUAAGUUAUAACAGUUUUGUGAUUGUUCUCAUUGAAUGAAUGGUAGACACAGGUCUGCACUAAAAGUCUGAUAAUAAGGUGUUAACCCUCUAUGCUGGCAUGACUUUUUAUUUUGGGAGGAAAAAAAUGUAUCACCAUGUGUUUUAGGAGCUUAGGGGUCCCUGAUAUUAUAUCAAUUAUAAAAUGUGACCCCCCCCUCAACCAGGGGUUGGUUUGUUGUCUCAGGGCAACAAUGUGCUACGAGGGUAUUGAAACACAAAGGAUUUCUACAAUUCAGAAGAAA